GGCGGAUGUAGCCAAGGGGAUUAAGGGGGG
rnacentral:tRNA from 1 species